UUCAUCUUUCGCCUGUCAUUCUUCUGGAGCAGCUUCUUCGCUUUCAUCGGAACUAUUAUCAUUGCAGUAUUGAUAAGUGCGGUUACAGGCGAAUUUCAGAAAAGAAAGGACAAAAGGCUAUGCAAUGAUGCCUUACUGCGACUAUGGGAGAAGAUCCGGGGUUAUGCUUCAAAAAAGGAACCUCACGCUACGAAAUGCAGCUACGAGGAACAUUGUGUAUCUAAACCAGAAGGCGAAAGCCUCGUCAUGCAUGAACGACCGCCUCACGUAUAGAGAAGAAAUUGCCUCCAAGUUCA